CUCGGCUAAAAACCCCCCGUGUUAUUUUUAUAUGCAAAAAAAACUCCCUAAAAUUAUAAAUAUUUCUCACUUGCCCAAUUCCAUCUCUGCCAUCUGACGGAGUUAAUUUUUUGCUUAAGUCCCCGUUAUGCCCUUUUUAACUUAUUACCACAGUACAAAAAAAGAAAAGGGUGAAUGUUUCAUUUUCUUUCUUCAACGCCGUGAAGAAGUUGGGAGAAGAGGGGAAGACGACGACAUACAGUACCCUUGGAUGCUCAAGAGUAAUUCUUGGUCGAAAUCGAGCUGUUGAGAUAACACGUUUAGAGGCAUAACAGUGCGAAAAAGAAUGGUGUUGGCUGAUUAUGCUGAUUUUGAUAUAUAGAUUGGUGGUGUAAUUGAAUGGGUGCCUAUAAUUAAAUAUGUAGGUGGUAGUAGAGUAUGGUUUCCAAAUGUGGAUAAGGACAAAUGAGAAGCAUGGAGUUUUUCAAAGGUUAAGAAGGCCAACUUUUGUACCACCGAGGUCUACACAAUUUAGUUCACCAUUUGAGAUUCCCCUAGAUACUGAACAAAGACCUGCAACUAGCCAACCACCAUCCAAUAAGAAUGUGUCGGUGUCUAAUGCUCCAAGAAGGAGAAAACAACCAGUCCCGAUAUCCACAUCAACAAAAAUACAAAAAAGAUCUGAAGGUUCAAGUACGAGUACUGGUUUCCAAAGAGAGUGUUGUCGAUCCAGCAAACCAACUUUGACUAAUCAGUUGAAAAACCUUUCUGCCUCCUAUAGGCCAAGCACUGGGUCAAGCUCAUCCAAGGGGCUAGAUGCAUCUACGAAGAAAGAUUGAAAUGAAGUGUGUUUUGUAAGAUGUAAGAUGGGUUUUUAUUUAAGUUGUGGUACAAUGAGGUGUAUUUUGUUGUGGUACAAUGAAGUGUGUUUUGUUGUGGUACUGUGAAAUAUUAAGUGUUUUGGCAAAGUUCUAGUAAUCUAACAUGG